GUCACAAGUAAGUGGUUUUACUACCUGCCUUUCUUCAUCUGUCCAACAAUCCUGAAAUACAUACGACUGAUUCUGAUUUAUGCUAAUUUGAAUGUCAAGCUUUAAGGGAAAACAAAUAAAUCAACAGCAUCUUUCCUAUUUCCCUUAAAGGAAUCUGUCAACAGUAGGCAUUUGGUAGUAUAAGUGUACAUUAAAAGCUGAUUGCAUUAGCAGCAGAGCAGAAAGAGAAUGGAUUUUUAAAGACAUGAACUGAAUCUUUUAACUGAAAUUGGUCUUUCUCCCACUGCAGGGCUACAACUGGUGUCACGAUCGGAACGUGGUCACCAUUUUCAGUGCACCUAAUUACUGUUACCGCUGUGGGAACCAGGCUGCUAUCAUGGAACUAGAUGACACUUUAAAAUAUUCCUUCCUUCAGUUUGAUCCAGCGCCUCGUCGUGGAGAGCCUCACGUUACUCGGCGUACCCCAGACUACUUCCUAUAAAAGCCUCCUCCUUGGCCUGGCCUUGAGCAGUGGUAGUAGACCUGCAUUUUUUUGAAAAGCAACAAUUUAUGUGAUAAAAGUCGAGGUCUGUCUGAGCAUAAAGCCUCUUCAUGGACCAAACUGUGCCAUAAUGAGGAUGAGCAGCUUUGAGCACAACUUAAGACUGACUUCAGUAUACUAAUCAGUCCUUUAUCAACCAGUCCAACAGCCAGUUUGCCUGCUGUAACUGUAGUAAUUGUUUUCUUCUGGACUGUUCAGAGAGGAAAGGUAACUAAUUCUCAUCUCCCUUUAUGCUUACUUGUACAUUUUAGUUGUAGUGUUUAACUGGCAUGUAUUAACAUUUUGAAAUCUAAGGAAAAUGCACAAACUAACUCCCUAUAAAGCCUAUUGCCCUCUUAUUUUAUUGACAUAAGUAACUGGAGAAAAAAAUCCUUUUGGGAGUAUGUUGUCAUAAGCUUUCCCUCCAUUUAAACUAGAUUACUGUUCUGUGUUGAUCCCUUUUUUCUGUAUAUUUGUUAUGAAAGUGCUUGCAUCUUAAUUUGAUGUAUUUAAACAAAUAAACUUGCAGAUCAUUAUUCCAAA